rnacentral:rRNA from 1 species
CCUACGGGAGGCAGCAGUGGGGAAUAUUGGGCAAUGGAGGAAACUCUGACCCAGCGACGCCGCGUGCGGGAUGAAGGCCUUCGGGUUGUAAACCGCUUUCAGUAGGGAAGAAGCGAAAGUGGCGGUACCUACAGAAGAAGCACCGGCUAACUAUGUGCCAGCAGCCGCGGUAAUACAUAGGGUGCAAGCGUUGUCCGGAAUUAUUGGGCGUAAAGAGCUCGUAGGUGGUUCGUCACGUCGGAUGUGAAAAUCUGGGGCUCAACCCCAGACCUGCAUUCGAUACGGGCGAUCUAGAGUGUGGUAGGGGAGACUGGAAUUCCUGGUGUAGCGGUGGAAUGCGCAGAUAUCAGGAGGAACACCAAUGGCGAAGGCAGGUCUCUGGGCCAUUACUGACACUGAGGAGCGAAAGCGUGGGGAGCGAACAGGAUUAGAUACCCUGGUAGUCCACGCCGUAAACCGGUGGGCACUAGUUGUGGGAACCUUCCACGGUUUCUGCGACGCAGCACGCAUAGUACGCCCGCCGUCGGGUAGGUACGACGCGCGAGAAUAAACUAACAAUAGAAGUAGACGCGNGAGAGCGCGACGACGACGACGAGGGAGGAGG